rnacentral:rRNA from 1 species
UACGUAGGGGGCGAGCGUUAAUCGGAAUUACUGGGCGUAAAGCGUGCGCAGGCGGUUCGCCAAGUCCGGGGUGAAAUCCCCGGGCUUAACCUGGGAACUGCGCUUGUAACUGAGAGGCUUGAGUGUGGCAGAGGGGGGUGGAAUUCCACGUGUAGCAGUGAAAUGCGUAGAGAUGUGGAGGAACACCGAUGGCGAAGGCAGCCCCCUGGGCUGAGAUUGACGCUCAGGCACGAAAGCGUGGGGAGCAAACAGG